rnacentral:rRNA from 1 species
GAGUUUGAUCGUGGCUCAGCCUGAACGCUGGCGGCGUGGCUAAGACAUGCAAGUCGCACGGUGUAGCAAUACACAGUGGCGAACGGGUGAGUAAUGAAUCGCUAAUGUGCCCCGGACUCUGGGAUAGCUGCCCGAAAGGGCAGGUAAUACCAGAUGAGACCACGAACAGGCAUCUGUUUGUGCUCAAAGGUCCGCCGGUCUGGGAGCAGGCGAUUUCGUAUCAGCUAGUUGGUGAGGUAACGGCUCACCAAGGCGACGACGCGUAGCCGGACUGAGAGGUUGGCCGGCCACAUUGGGACUGAGACACUGCCCAGACUCCUACGGGGGGCUGCAGUAACGAAUCUUCCGCAAUGCACGAAAGUGUGACGGAGCGACGCCGCGUGUAGGACGAAGCCCUUCGGGGUGUAAACUACUGUCAGGGUUAGAAAGUUCUGAUCAACCCCACGAGGAAGGCACGGCUAACUCUGUGCCAGCAGCCGCCGUAAC